rnacentral:rRNA from 1 species
AGCAGCCGCCACGGGAAUACGAAGGGUGCAAGCGUUACUCGGAAUUACUGGGCGUAAAGCGUGCGUAGGCGGCCUAUUAAGUCAGGGGUGAAAGACGGUAGCUUAACUAUCGCAGUGCCUUUGAUACUGAUGGGCUUGAAUACACUUGAGGUAGGCGGAAUGUGACAAGUAGCGGUGAAAUGCAUAGAUAUGUCACAGAACACCAAUUGCGAAGGCAGCUUACUGGCUCAUACUGGACGCUGAGGUGCGAAAGCGUGGGGAGCAAACAGGAUUAGAUACCCCCGUAGUCCCUGUCUCUUAUAC